rnacentral:rRNA from 1 species
GAACGGGUGAGUAAUAUAUCGGAACGUGCCCAGUCGUGGGGGAUAACGCAGCGAAAGCUGUGCUAAUACCGCAUACGAUCUAUGGAUGAAAGCGGGGGAUCGCAAGACCUCGCGCGAUUGGAGCGGCCGAUAUCAGAUUAGCUAGUUGGUGGGGUAAAGGCCCACCAAGGCGACGAUCUGUAGCUGGUCUGAGAGGACGACCAGCCACACUGGAACUGAGACACGGUCCAGACUCCUACGGGAGGCAGCAGUGGGGAAUUUUGGACAAUGGGCGCAAGCCUGAUCCAGCAAUGCCGCGUGCAGGAUGAAGGCCUUCGGGUUGUAAACUGCUUUUGUACGGAACGAAACGGUCCUUUCUAAUACAAGGGGCUAAUGACGGUACCGUAAGAAUAAGCACCGGCUAACUACGUGCCAGCAGCCGCGGUAAUACGUAGGGUGCGAGCGUUAAUCGGAAUUACUGGGCGUAAAGCGUGCGCAGGCGGUUAUAUAAGUCAGAUGUGAAAUCCCCGGGCUCAACCUGGGACCUGCAUUUGAGACUGUAUAGCUAGAGUACGG